UUUUUCUCAAAAUUCAAAAUCCGUGGCCGUUCGCCUGGCCUUCGCUAGGCGAGGCAGAGGCGAACGAGACAGUACCUGAUUUUUCUAGUCUGUUUUUUUUUUAUGUUUUUAUCAUAGCCAUGCAUUAUUCAUCCUAUCCUAUUUACUGUUGCGAUAUUUUUCCGGUGUAAUCUUCGAUUGCACCCUGAUUUGGUAUUCUGACAUGUUUCUUUUUGAGCUUCGAAAAGGUUCACAUAUCC
rnacentral:lncRNA from 1 species